GAGGCCUUCUGCGGCGGGGGAGGGAAGAGAGAGCCGCGACUAUUAUGGGAUGGCGAGGCCUUCCGCCACCGGAGGGGGGCAGCUUGCCAUGGAGACUACAGAAAUCUGGAAGAGAGAAGAGCUCUGCAGUGUUGGAGAAGGCUUGAGGAACUCAGGAUAAUUCCUUUGGCCAAUGUUGAGGACACCAGGUUGUAUGAAGAGACAGACUUUGGGAUAAUAACUGAAUACUGAGUGAAAAGUUGAGUUGGUUUCUUACCAAUUUCAAAGUAAAAGUUGAACCUGA